UGGGGAAUUUUGGACAAUGGGCGAAAGCCUGAUCCAGCAAUGCCGCGUGUGUGAAGAAGGCCUUCGGGUUGUAAAGCACUUUUGUCCGGAAAGAAAUCCUCUGGGUUAAUACCUCGGGGGGAUGACGGUACCGGAAGAAUAAGCACCGGCUAACUACGUGCCAGCAGCCGCGGUAAUACGUAGGGUGCAAGCGUUAAUCGGAAUUACUGGGCGUAAAGCGUGCGCAGGCGGUUUUGUAAGACGGAUGUGAAAUCCCCGGGCUUAACCUGGGAACUGCAUUCGUGACUGCAAGGCUAGAGUAUGGCAGAGGGGGGUAGAAUUCCACGUGUAGCAGUGAGAUGCGUAGAGAUGUGGAGGAAUACCGAUGGCGAAGGCAGCCCCCUGGGCCAAUACUGACGCUCAUGCACGAAAGCGUGGGGAGCAAACAGGAUUAGAUACCCUGGUAGUCCACGCCCUAAACGAUGUCAACUAGUUGUUGGGGAUUCAUUUCCUUAGUAACGUAGCUAACGCGUGAAGUUGACCGCCUGGGGAGUACGGUCG
rnacentral:rRNA from 1 species